ACGCUCGACACCUACGGGAGGCAGCAGUUAGGAAUAUUGGGCAAUGGAGGGAACUCUGACCCAGCAACGCCGCGUGAAGGAAGAAGGUUUUCGGACUGUAAACUUCUGAUCUAAGGGAAAAGAAAGUGAUGGUACCUUAGGAGAAAGCCACGGCUAACUACGUGCCAUCAGCCGCGGUAAUCUGAGCGGGCUGGCAAGGC
rnacentral:rRNA from 1 species